rnacentral:rRNA from 1 species
GACGAACGCUGGCGGCGUGCUUAACACAUGCAAGUCGAACGGAAAGGCCCUGCUUUUGUGGGGUGCUCGAGUGGCGAACGGGUGUGUAACACGUGUGUAACCUGCCCUUGACUUUGGGAUAACUUCAGGAAACUGGGGCUAAUACCGGAUAGGAGCUCCUGCUGCAUGGUGGGGGUUGGAAAGUUUCGGCGGUUGGGGAUGGACUCGCGGCUUAUCAGCUUGUUGGUGGGGUAGUGGCUUACCAAGGCUUUGACGGGUAGCCGGCCUGAGAGGGUGACCGGCCACAUUGGGACUGAGAUACGGCCCAGACUCCUACGGGAGGCAGCAGUGGGGAAUAUUGCACAAUGGGCGGAAGCCUGAUGCAGCAACGCCGCGUGCGGGAUGACGGCCUUCGGGUUGUAAACCGCUUUCGCCUGUGACGAAGCGUGAGUGACGGUAAUGGGUAAAGAAGCACCGGCUAACUACGUG